UACAGAGGUCUCAAGCGUUGUUCGGAUUCAUUGGGCGUAAAGGGUGCGUAGGCGGCGCGGUAAGUCGGGUGUGAAAUCUCGGAGCUUAACUCCGAAACUGCAUUCGAUACUGCCGUGCUUUGAGGACUGGAGAGGAGACUGGAAUUUACGGUGUAGCGGUGAAAAUGCGUAGAUAUCGUAAGGAAGACCAGUGGCGAAGG
rnacentral:rRNA from 1 species